rnacentral:lncRNA from 1 species
GCGGGUUCAAUAUAUGUGUUAGAAGCCCUUCAUUGUAUUAGAGACCAAGAAGCCGUCUUCCUCCUACAGCCCUAGGCCUCGCCGGCGGGGAACGCUAACUACGCCGAUGACCACCAAAAAUACACCAGCAAAUCUCCUUGUUCCCCUCUUUUCAACGCUAUACUCCGUUCCUCUCGAAUCAACGUCAAGCCCAUCGAAUAUUCUUUUGUAAUUUUCCGGCCAUGACGCCACCAUUCCUAAAUCGACCCAAAUUAAUCCCUUGGGUCCGUUUCUCUUUUUCUUACCCAAAUCCCAUGUCAAUUUUCCUCAAAUCCACUAGGAAAUGUUCGAAUUUCAAGUUGAUUGUUUCCGACCAGAACCCUAGAUAUGCCAAAUUGUGCCGAAUUGGCACCGUAUAAUACUCUCACCAUCUAUAUGAAGCUUCCAUCAUCUAAGGCGUUCAAACAUUAUGGAAAUGGGCCAAAUUUUGAGUUUGAAAUAGGCCGGUGAGUCUUUAGGUUUUCAGUACUUCUUUUUAGUUUAAUUAGCUGUGUUAAUUAAUCUAGGUUUAUCUUUGUUUGUCGUCUUGGUUCUGUGUUUGAUCAAUUGCCUUAGGUCGUAACAAUCGUUUGCUAAAGUUUUAGUCAUCUUGUCUAAGUUCAGUUUGAAUUUAAGAUUAGUUUAUUCAUUGUUUUGUGAUUAUUAGUUUCAGUAAUUAUCUUUUUCCUUUUCAAUUUGGCAUAAACGUGUGCCAGUUUUGAUUUUGCUAUAGCCAGUUUAAGUUUAUGACUUUGAUUUCGAUUUUGAUACUUGUUAGUGUCCAAUUUUAAUUGCCGUGUUUAGUUUUGUCAACCCUAUUUUUGAUUUCACGUUCUGAUUCGUUGUUCAUUUUUACUUCAUCUUUGUUUCUGAUUGUCAUUUUAAUUAGUAUACUGGAAUUUACUCCGUUUUGGUUCAAUAAGUUAGUUUAGGUUAUCACAGUAAGUUUGAUUUAGUAUCCCAUAUGUUAUUAUGAGCAAUUGAUUAAUUAGUGUAGGUGAUUUGAAAUUCAGCAAUUGGUUUAGCUUUAAAGGAUUGGUUAUAGUUGUUACCUCAACUAGUAUUAAGGGGAGUGGGGUCAGUUAACUAAGGGUAGUGUUGAUACCCAAUUUUUUCCUAUGUAUCUUGGUACCCAAAAUACUUUCAGAAUAGCUUUUGAAUGCAUAUAUAACAUCCACAAGAGGUUUGGUAUUUUCUAUAAUUUUUCAGGCAUUUUAAAACCAAUUUAUAACUUACUUUUGUACGGUAAAAUCUAAUAUUUAGUGUCAAAUCUUGUUAUUUUAAUAAAAAAAAUUAUUUUAAUCUCUCAUUUACAUAAAAAUAUAAUUUAUGUAAUUUUUACAGGGUUUUACAAAGCCAUUAGGUAUUUUUAAAUUAAAAUUGCAUUAAAUUGCAAUUUUAGCCUAUUUAUCAAUUUAACGACUAUUUCAAGUCUAAAAUUAUUCUUAGUAUUUUUAAUUAAUUUCUAAACGUAUUUUAUUAUCUCAAUAAUUUUAUUGGAUUUUUAUAGAAUGGUUUACUAUUUUUUAAAAUUAAAUUUGUGAAAAUUGGUUAUUUAAAUGGUAGCCUUUUGCUCUUUCAAUUAUAGCCACAUUUCACCCCCAAUUACCUAACCCAACCUAAAAAUUACCCGACCCCAAACCCAUCUAAACUAACCCGCCCCAUUCUUCUUUUAAUCCUGGUCGCUGAUCUCACAGAUCAACGACCCUCAAUUCACUUAUCUUAAUUAAACCCUCACAACCCCCUAACCCUAAUCAAUUACACCCAAACGGGCCGCCUUUCACUCCCAAAUAUCUCUAGUGUCUGUGAGAACCCUAGUCUUCUCCAGUCCUCUUCACCGGCGUCAAUGGCCAUUCAGGGCCUAAAACUUCCAUGCUCGUCCGUUCAUCACAUAUUCUGGCCUUUGGGUUCGAAGAUUGGGACUUUGUCUCGAGGGUAACUGGACCAGAACUCCUUCAAUGGAGUUUCAUGGCUGUUCUACGGUGAGCCUUUGAAGCCUUGGAUCUUUUCCAAGCUCCGAUGGGUCGUUCAUGCUUUUCUCGCCAUUUCUGAGGUUUUUUAUGAAAACCUUAAUGAUUCGAGGUUCCUCCUUUCAUUUUUCUCUAUGUUAUCUUACGAUUUUCUUUGAGUAAUAGGUGUUUUCUAAAACUUUUUAAGUGUUUCUCACCUCUUUCUUCACUUAGUCAUGAUUUCAAAACUGUUCGUUUUAGAACCUGGGGUUUUCUAGGACUUAUCCGAUUUCUUUGAUUUUUUGUUGUUUAUUCUUGCUACUAGGUGUUCUUCUCCGUGAUUUUGAAAUUUUCAAUUUUGGCUCUAAAGUUUUUUAUCUCACUGCCUACCUUUCUAGGGUUUUUGGUUAAAAUUGUUCUAUGCUUUCUUUAUAGUGUUCUGCUCUUGUUCGUUUUCAUCUAUGAUAUUCCUUGUGUUUUGACCGGUAGCGGGAAUCCUAAUCUCUAAAAGGUAUUCUCCAUUCCUUGUUCUGUGUGAAACCCUAGCCAGCCCUGUUUGCUUCUUGUGUUUGCUACCCGUCUGCUCUAUUAUUCGUUAGUCUCUAGUAUAUUCAAAACUUAUGCAUCUUUAUACUACUGCUUUUCCCCUUUCCCUGAAACCCUAAAAUUGAUUUUGUACAACUGUUUGUUUUGAUUCUCUAAUUGCUCCUUGUUUCUUGACUAUUUUCAAAAGAUUGAUAUCUUGACUCCUUGAUUUCCUGGGUGAUUACUUGCCUUAUAUGCCCUACCCAUGUGAUUUUCAAAUUUCUUAUGAGUAUUUACCCUAUAUUCUGUGAUUAAUACUAUAUUUUCUUUCCAAAAUUAGACCUGGGUUUAUUUAUUUUCCCAUUCGGUUCCUUAAUUGAAGGGGUUCCCUUCUCCUUAAUUGAUACUGAUGGAUUUCUGAAUAUUUCCUUACCUUACUGUUGCUUGUCUUUCAACUAUAAAUAGGCCCUCUCUUUUCUCACUUGAGAACAACUCAUUCUCGAGUCCUCUCUACUCUAGCUCACAAAAACUCUCUGCUUUUUCUCUUCCUUGCUACUUGCUAUCUCUCUGCUAAAGUUAGCCGGCUGAAAGCCAAGGCUAACUAUAAGGAUUUUCUUUGUUGUGUUACUCAAACCUGCACUAGUAGGCUCCUAACUCCAUUUAUUAACUUUCAAGUAUUUGUUUUCUCUCCCUUCUUCUUUGUCUGUUAGAACCUGCACUGGUAGGCUCCUAACUCAAUUUAUUAACUUUCAAGUAUUUGUUUGCUCUUCCUUCUUCUUUUUUUGUUAUGUUAUUGCAAUUAAGCUUGCAUGAUCAACCCCUUCCCCUUACCCUUUUGUCUUCCUGUAUUUGAGUGUCAGCAUGUCAAUUUCCUCCCCCCCCCCCUUCCCUUUGUCCCCUUAUCUGUAUAUGCUCAAGAUAGUCCUGAACCAUUACCCUUAACUGUGUAUACCUUCAGCAUGUUAAUCCCUGAUUCCCAUUUCCCCUUGGGUGCCUACAUUCAAUGUUUUGUUAAAUCCAGCAUAUUGAAUACUUUCCUUUGAUUGUACACUAUUAUGCUUUAAUUUAAUCUUGUCUGCUAAGUGUUUAUAUGAUUUCCUUGCUCCUUGUUUGUAUGUGAGUUGUUCUGGACAAGGGUGGCACCCUAUUGCCAUUUCUAGUUCAGAACUAAGGUUGCCAAUAGCCUUAUGCGUUUGAGACUGGAAAAAGGCAUGUUAGUGUCUUAAUCACCUUCCAGGCCCUUGUCUGGCUUCGGCUGUCAAUAGCCUUUCUCAAAGCAAUCCCAUCCCCCAUCCCCUCUCUUAUGUGUUUGAGCCUGGAAAAAGGCAUGUUGGUGUCUUAAUCACCUCCCAGUACCAUGUUUGACUUGUUUACAAGUCUGCUCUUGUUUGUAAUCUUUGUAAGGAGUCUGGGGUUUGCCAGUCUCAUUCAAUAGGCUGGGUAUGACCACUUCAUACACUGGUUUCCCUUUAAUCCUCANNNNNNNNNNNNNNNNNNNNNNNNNNNNNNNNNNNNNNNNNNNNNNNNNNNNNNNNNNNNNNNNNNNNNNNNNNNNNNNNNNNNNNNNNNNNNNNNNNNNNNNNNNNNNNNNNNNNNNNNNNNNNNNNNNNNNNNNNNNNNNNNNNNNNNNNNNNNNNNNNNNNNNNNNNNNNNNUACCCCUUUGGUAAGCCAUGCUUAGGGACCUUGGAGUCUCCUCUGAACUUGGAUGCCUUAGGGGUGGUAAUUCCACACUUGCACUAUUCCAAGUAGGGUGUAAACAAUGCCUGGAUCUCUUUGAAGGCCCUUGGAACUUUGUAGCACUCUAAAAGAGAAAAGCCUCGGAUCUUGGGAGCUCGGAUUUGGUAAAAGGAAUAUUGUUGGACAUUAAAGUUGCUUCGAGAUUCCUCGGGCCUGUUAGAGUUGCAGAUGUAUUUUAACUUUUUAUUUCUUUAGUGUUAUACGUUGGACAUUAAAGUUGCUUUGUGCUUCUUCGGGUCUGUUAUAGCAUUGAUGUACUUUACUCCUUUUAAUGUUAUUUUCUUGUCCAAACUUUUAUAAGUAACUUGUAAUAAAGAACUCUGUGAUCUAGUGAAAAGGGAAUAUGGGAGGGGUUUAUUUUCUUGCAUCAAUCUUAUAUAGAUACCAUGUUUAUAGGGUUUACUUUCUUGAAUCAUCUCAUAUAGUUAUCAUGUCUAUAAGGGUUUUCAUUAUUGCAGUAACAUCAUAUAGAAAACAUGCUUAUAAGAGUUUACUAUUGCAUCCACAUCAUAUAGAAAUCAUGACUAUAGGCUCAUUUAUAUUCACAUCAGUAGAAACCAUGUCUUAGGAUUUUUAUUUUAUCCAUGUAUACGGUUACCAUGCCUAUUUUUUGUUGAAGUAGAAACCAUAUCUUAGGACUUUCAUCUUACCCAUGUACACUGUUACCAUGCCUAUUUUAUGUUGUUGCAUCAAUCAUAUAGAUAUCAUGUCUAUAGGCUUCCGCAUUGCACCGACUUCAUACAGAAAUCAUGUUAUUAGGCUUGCAUCUUAUAAUGUCACCUAGAUAUCAUGCCUAUAGGAGUUAUCUAGAUGCUAGACAAAAUAGUAGGACGUCCAAUUGUAUAAGAGCAUCAAUUAAGGGGUUAGCAAGUAAGUUUAAGUCCAGACUCGUCCAAUGUUUUCUAAUGCCUAGUUUUCUUCAACUUAUCUUAAAUUGGUUUAUCUCAAACGAGUCUAGGUCUGCCCUUUUCGUAAUGUCAAGAGCCUACAAGCUGUUUUCUAUACUAAAUUGCUUAAGUUCAUGUGUUUAAGGUACUCCAAAACUUCUUUAAGGUCUUCUAAACUACUCUUCUUAUGGCUCCCUUUAUUCAAACUCAUAUGACUAAUUUAUAGCCCCUUUCUCCAACAUUUGUUUGUAGUUUUGAGUCUUUAACAGACUUCUGUUUGAAGCCUACAUUUUCUUUUCUAAAAAAUCGUCUGCAACUUUAAAUCUUUCCUAAACAGACCUUUGUAUGGAGUUAACGUUUUCUAAAGUUCAACAGAUUUUCUAAAAAUCUUGUCAACUUCUAAAACAGACCCGGAGGGCACAAAGCAGAUUUUCUAUCUAACUUUCAUAUGUCAAACCAUUCUGCCUACUCUCCUAACCUCUUUUAAAGACCAAAUCAGUAAUUGAAGUCCUGCUAAACUACUUGCUGUAUGUUACAUGGUUUACCUGAGCCUUUAAGUAUUUAUUUGCAUCCCCCUUAUCUGCUACUUGUUUUUUACUGUCACUCUAGUAUUCUUACCUUUGAAUACUCCAUAUAUGUAUCCUACUUCCUUCUCCCCCUUUCUUAGGAUUAGAGGUCCUAAUGCCCCAGGACUAACAGGUUGGGACGGGUAUUAGCAUGCAAUAAGUAAACGAUAUCAACGCAUUUCAAUACCUUAACAGGGUGGGAGGGUAGAAUAUGGAGAUGAUGACAAUGCGAUAAUAUCAUAAAGCGAUCCCUCUUUGGGAAUAUGUGCGGGAUAUUGUAUCGAAUGAUCCAUAUUAUAGUUAAACCUAGGACCCAUCUUUCUCUUCGUUCUUUAUUUAAAUGAUUUCUUAAUGCUUUUCAAACUAACUCUCUUCUAUUUCAAACUUAUGCCAUUUUCUUUAAAGCUUUCAAAUUAUAUGAAUAUUAUACAUGUGCACCUUAUUUGUCUACUUGCUUUGUCUUCUUUUUAAAGUCACAAUUAGCAUGGCCUGGAACCACAUUUGUGGAUCUUGAGGGGUGCCUAACACCUUCCCGUCGAGAUAAUUUCAAGCCCUUACCCAACUCUGGUUUUUCUCUCAAAAACACUCUCUUCAACUUAAAGUGUCCUAAUGCACUAUAAUCAUUAGGUGGCGACUCUUCCAAUUUCGUAACCCAAUUCUCAAACGGGAAAUAGAGUUGUUUUACCCAUAAUGUCAUAAAACUCAAUUUUGCUCAUGAAAAAGGGGGCAUCGACAGGUAGGUUAGUGAUUUCAGUAAGUGAAGGAGGGGUAACAUGGGUAAUCAAAUAGUGGAAUCUUGUAGUAACAAACUAUGAACACCCUAGAACAGUCUAAAAUAAGAAUUUAGUCGUAAUUUCAGGAAAUUAGGAUACUUACUUGAGUAACAAGUCAAUAAAUAGGGGACUAAUAUGAAAAUAAGGAAGGGACUAAGUUUGAAAAUAGAAAAAAUGGGACGCCCUCAUUUGUGCCCUAUAUAAGAGCAUGUCCUUUACUUCAUCAACAAGUUUGGAGCCUCAAAAAUUCCCCCAAACUCUCUUAGAAAAUCUUAGUAGAGUUGAAUUUGAAAUUAUCUUUUAGAUCAUAAUUUCUGCAGAAAACAACAGAACACAAAAAAAAAUAGAAAACUUCAAAAAAAAAGGGGUUAGAAAACUAUUCUAUCGAUGAAUCCUUAGGUUAAUUUCGAUUUAUAGUCACCAAUUCACAGAUUCUAGUUCAUUUUGAUGGUGUUUGAAAGUUCAGAGGCUGGCUAGGUUUGGUUUCGAAUGGUUUCGGGUCUAUUUGGUGUUGUUGUAGAUAGGUAUAUUGGUGCCAUAUGGGUUUUAAAGCAUUGUUGGACUGCAAACUGUUUCUGAGUUUUUUUUUAAAGUUCAUUCCUGGGUUGAUUAUUGCUGUAGGUGUUGUGCUGAUUCAUUCUAAGUUGUCCUGCUGUUGCUGCUUAUCAUCUGCCGUAGUUGAUCUCACUUUCUUUCUCAUUUGGCAAUUUCCAGGUAUAUAUACCAUUUGAAUCAUACGAUGUAAUGUAUGAUUUUAUGGAAUUGGAAUGGAAUCAUCUGCUGAACCUGCUUGCUUUCUGUUGUAGUUUGAUCCUAUUAAUUUUCGUUUUGUUAAUUGAAUUCCUAAUUAAACUAGACUGAUCGGACUAUACUAAAUUGAACACUUAAUGUGAGUAGGUCAGAUUGUUAAACUCUGAACCCUAUAACUUCAUUGAUGUAUGUUUGAACUCUUUUGGUAAUUGCAGUCGAGAAUCAGAAGUUGAGUUGAAUUAAUAUACAAUAUACUGUUUAGAUCUUGGCAUGGUAAAUGGCUUCGAUAAUAUUAGCCUAAGUUAGUUUUGAAAUAGUUGUUUGUUUGGGGGUUUUGAUCAACGCGCUUGUAUGUAGUGUGUAAUGAAACCACCAAUAGCGUAAUGUAUAGAAUAGGCAUAGAACUAGAAUCAAAUUAUUCAAUGUUCAAUUAAAAUUGAAUUGAGUACUAACUGAUAAGAGUUUCUUAGAAUUGCUAACUUGAAUCACAUGAAUUAAGGAAGCAAGAAUAAAUUUGGUUUUAAGUGUAAAGGGUGAUCUCUAUAACUCUAAGGAGAAGACAGUGCAAAUUACACAUAAUCACUUAUGUUUGUGUUGGUGAUCAACUUGGUUGUUUAGUAUUGUGCCUUCGCCCAGGCUCAUUCUCCGUUUAUUUUCUCCAAUUGCAACUAAAAUUGUAAGAUAUCUCUUGGGCCCAAUUUCUUCAAAGCAGGCCCAAAAGUGUCUGAUGUGUUGAAAAGAAUCCUUAAGCAUGCUUCAUUGUAUACAUCAUGAGCUACUGGGCUCAGACGUCAGGCCCAAACGUUUGUCUUCAGUCUUUAGUUGUCAUCUUUAUUUGUUGACUAUUAAAAUAAAGAUCCAAGGUAAAAAGCAUUAUUAAGAAAACCGUCUAUCAUAAAAUACCUGAUUGGUUUAUGAGAUUGAUAAAGGUUGCAUGACAUUUGUUUAAUAACCAAUUGGGAGCCUGAAGAAUCAAACCCCAAACCCUUUUGAACAAGAUCUGUCACGGUCCCUAAACGUUUGGGCUUCAAGCCUUUUUGUCAAAUAAGCCCAGGUCCGGUAAUGCUCUCCUUUACAUACAAGGACUUGGUGUCCAGCUUUGGUCCCCGUUUGGCCCAAAUGGAGCUCGUUUAUUUGUGCUCACAGGAGUUCAAACUCCCGACAUUCAAUUCGCCCCAGUUUCUUCUAGUUGAGCUCAUUGGCCUAGCCAUUUGGGACCAGUUCACUUUUUCCUUCAAAUAAUUUAUUUGGUAUUUGGAAUUCGGGUUUUGAUUUAGGUAGCGGAUUUUAAACUAAAAGGCUCGUCCUUUUGUUUGGGCCCGGGCUGAGACUUAAUGCCCGAAUUCUAAAUAUAAUUAAUUAGGAAUUUUUCUCUCCUUUUAGAGACAAAAACAAAAAUAGAAAAUAUAGCCGCUUUUAGGAUUAUCCUUUAAAAUAAAAUGAGACAAGCGUCGCCCGAUAAAAUACAAAAUUGCGGGGCCCUCAAUAAAGGCUUAAAAAUAUUUUAGAAAUUGGGAGGGGACGUGUAGCGAAUUUCACGGCUCUCCCAAAAGAUUACAAUGCGCUAUGAUGCACGUCUUUAAUAAAUUACAUUCCUAAAUAUGGGUGGGCAUCUUAUGCGGCCCAAAUCCAAAUCCUAAAGCGUUGAAUAGAGUGUGCCUAGGAUUGCGGGUUCAUUUGAUGAGGCGCAAUCCGAAAACACACUUUAAGUGACGUUCACUUUCUCUUAAAUAAAUACAUAUUAAAUAAAAGCGGUUAAGCAUAAAAUUGGCACAUAGUCUCUUCGUGUAAUAAAAUCAUAUAAAAAGCUAGAUGCAAUAGUUGAGCGACCGUGCUAGAACUACGGAACCCGGGAAUGCCUAACACCUUCUCCCGGGUUAACNNNNNNNNNNNNNNNNNNNNNNNNNNNNNNNNNNNNNNNNNNNNNNNNNNNNNNNNNNNNNNNNNNNNNNNNNNNNNNNNNNNNNNNNNNNNNNNNNNNNNNNNNNNGAUGCCAAGAAAGAAAUUGUUGGGAUUCAAUCGGUGACUUGGGACACCAUUAAUCUCCCAAGUGGCGACUCUGAAUAAUUAAUAACCAAAUCUCAUUCUGAUUGUCCUUUAAUUGGAAAAACUCCUUUAUGCCCUUUUGGGGGGGUGUACAGUGAAAAAGGAGAUGUGACAAUGAUUUAUUUAUUAAUAUAAAAAUAUUUAUAAUUUGACUAAUUUACCUUAUAAAUAUGUUCUUUUAUUUAACGUAUCCUUUAAUAAUAAAAAAUGUAAACUCAAUUGCACCGACGCGGCCUGGCGUGGCUUUGCCCAAUCGUAACUUCUACAUCAUAGACAAUCAAAGCUUCUUUGUCAUUUUGAAAUUAUAGCCUGCGCUAUGGGCGGACAAACUUAAAGAAUCUUAUGAAAUUAUGAUCUGAUAUAUCAUAAUAUUAUUUUAAUAAAUUUUAGUUGCUAGUCUAUUCUAUAAUACAGUAUGCAAAAAUAUAACAAAUUUAUAUAAUCAAAGGAUACACAUAUGGUAAUUAUAUAAAUGAUAUCUAAUUCUUAUUUUAUUUUUUUAUUAAAUUAACAAGUACUUAGUAUUAAGUAUUUACUAAUGUGACUUUUUAUUAACUUGUCAAUUGGCUUAAUAUUUUGUCACUACUUUACUAUAAUAAAUAUAGAUAUAUAUUUCUUACUCUAAAAAUAUUUUUUCGUAACAUAAUAUACAUAUAUAAUUUCUUACUCUAAAAAUAUCUUUAUUAUUUUUACAAUUUAAAAUUCUUUAAUUGUCUAAAGUUAUCAAUGUAUUUUUUGAGUUCAAUUUACUUACCUCUUAUUUUUAUAAUUAACUUAAAUUAUAAAUAUUCUAAUAUUAUAUUUAUCUCUCUCUUUUUAUACAUUCUUUUCUACUAUAAUACUUGAUUAAUUUUCUCAAUUUGCAUUCUACUUGUAAUUAAAAUUAUGUAAUAUCAUUUUUUUGUUAAAUUAUAACUUUGAAUUCAUCAUAAAUAUAAAAAUAUAAACCUUUAAUUUUUUUAAAAUAUACUAAUAUUUUUAAUAAUUGUUAUUUUGUAGUAUAUAUAUAAUAUUCUUAUCUUAUGCAUAAAUAUCCAAAAAUAUUUUUUUAUAAUUACUUUUUAUGAUUUAUAUUCUUCAAUUUAAUAACUAAAACUUUCUAUAUGAAAAAAAUAAUUAUUAUAUACAGUUUAUGUUAUCGCUUGUAGUUCUUCAUUUCUUUAUUAUUCUUCCUUUAUGACUCUUUGUUUAAUUUCAAUUAUGAGUAUAUGUACGAAUUUUCUCAUCAUAAUUCUACUUAUAAGUCUAUAUUUAUAUAAUUGUUUCUAAAAAAAAUUGUUCUUUGCUUAUUCUAAUUAUAUUAUCUGUUACAUGGUACUAUCAAAUUAUGACAUGAAAUUUUUAAUAACUUGUCAUAUUUUUUUUGGUAAUUAAGGAUUUCAUUAAUCACCAAUGAAAUAACAUCACAAAAACCAUAGUCUAGCUUUAACUCAGCUGACUAUCUCUAAUAUAACAAUUUAAACUGUAUCUAAUGUCCUAGCUACCUAACAAUACUAUAUUUGAAUAUGUUGUAAGUGGUUUCUAAUUCGUGGGGUACCUCUAACAUUACAAGUAUAUACUAUGUCUCUCAAAAGGGCUUCAUUUCAACGAAAUGUCUUGUUGAAGAUUCUUGAGUUCCUUUCCAGCCAGAUAGUAUAUGCAAACUCAGCAACUACCAUUUUGAAGAUGGCCCAUUGCAACAAAAUGUCUUGUUGAAGAUUCUUGAGUUCCUUUCCGGCCAGAUAGUAUAUGCAAACUCAGCAACUACCAUUUUGAAGAUGGCUGCUCGACAUGUUCGACCCUUGGUUUUGCUUACGAGCCACUGCAUUCUCUGGUUCCAGGCAGUGAGGUGAGGAUAAGUCUCCUUCAGCCAGCGCAUUAUUUUCUCCCAUAAUUCAAUAGUGACUGGGCAGAAUAGUAAUAAGUGAUCUCUGGUCUCUGGAUGGUUUUGGCAUAAGUUACAUUGCUGAUCAACACUCAUUCCCCAGUUGUGCAAUCUAUCUUUUGUUGGUAAUCUAUCUUGUAAGAACAGUCAUAGAUUGAAAGUUGCCUUUGGCCUUGCAUAGUUUUGUAUGAUCAAAUUCUUCCACGGGACUCUCGGCAGGUCUUGAAGCUGUAAAUGGUAUAGUUGUCUAACUGAGUAGCCCUGCUCCUUCCAGUGUUGAAACCUCUGCAAAACUUCUCUCGAUUGGAUGAUCUUUCUGACCAUCCAACAUGCAUGUGCAGGAAUUGGCAUGGUUUCAAUAGGUCUGUUUUUGAUGUAGUAUACAGUGAUCCAUCUAAUCCACAAUUUGUCCUUUUUAUGAGCUAGAUCCCAGCAUGUCUUUGCAAUGCCAGCUUUAUUCCAGAGCUUGAGAUUAGUGAGAUUCAUCCCUCCUGCUGAUUUUUGGGUACACAUUCUUCCCCAGGAGAUGUAUGCUUCCCUAGUGAUAGAGUUCAUCCCAGACCAGAUGAAGCUCCUACAAAUGGCUUCUAUCAUCUUCAGGACUUCAACAGGGAAUAUGAACAGUUAUGCCCAGUAAGCUUGGAUACUAAAAAUGACAUAUUGGACCAGUUGGAUUCUCCCAGUAUAAGACAAUGUCUUGGCAGUUCAUGAGGUGAUCCUGGCAGUGAUCCUUUCUGCCAGAGGUUUCCAUUGGAGCAAUGUGAUUUUCUUGGUGGAUAGGGGGACACCUGGGUACUUGAAUGGUAACUCACCUUGCUCAUAGCCAAGGUGGUCGAUAAUUUGUUUCUGAAUAUCCAGUGCAACACCACUAAAGUAAACAGAGCUCUUGUUCAGGUUAGCCUGUAAGCCAGAUGCUUCAGAGAAUUGAGAGAAGCGUGCGGAUAAGGCUAUGACAAAGGUAGUGUCACCUUUGGCAAACAUCAGCAAAUCAUCAGCAAAACACAUGUGAGUAAUACCUAGUUUUUUACAUCUGGGGUGGUACUGAUAUGCUGGAUUUCCCUUUAGUGAGUUGCAUGAUCUGCUCAAGUACUCCAUGACCAGAGCAAAUAGGAAGGGGAAAUAGAGUCCCCUUGCCGUUUCCUUUAGUGAGUUUCAUGAUCAGCUCAAGUACUCCAUGACCAGAGCAAAUAGGAAGGAGAAAUAGGGUCCCCUUGCCUAAGCCCCCUAGCAGCAGCGAAGGGUUCAAUUGCCUCUCAAUCGACUAGCACGGAGAAGCUCACUGUUGAGAUGCAUUCCAUUAUCCAUUUGGUGAAUUUGCCGGGGAAACCAAUCUGUUCCAUAACCUUCUAUAAGAAUGUCCAUUCUACUGAGUCAUAGGCUUUCUGGAGGUCAAUUUUAAUCAUGCAUCUGGGUGACACUUGUUGUCUGGUGUAGCUUUUGACUAGUUCGUGUGCCAGAAUGAUAUUGUAUGUUAUGUUUAUGCCUGGAAUAAACCCUGCUUGGGCUUCAUUGAUAAUGAUUGCCAUCACCUUCUGCAUCCUAUUGGCCAGUAUUUUUUAGAUCAUUUUAUAUAGGACAGAGCAGCAAGCAAUUGGCCUAUACUCUUUGACUGUAGUUGGUUUGGACACUUUAGGANNNNNNNNNNNNNNNNNNNNNNNNNNNNNNNNNNNNNNNNNNNNNNNNNNNNNNNNNNNNNNNNNNNNNNNNNNNNNNNNNNNNNNNNNNNNNNNNNNNNNNNNNNNNNNNNNNNNNNNNNNNNNNNNNNNNNNNNNNNNNNNNNNNNNNNNNNNNUGACUGUAGUUGGUUUGGACACUUUAGGAAUUAGGGUAAUAGUGGCACAGUUGAUGGGUUUGUACAUCUUGGUUGAGGAGAAAAACUGCUUGAUGCCAUUAGUAACAUGCCUGCCAAUGAUUCUCCAGCUCUUUUUGAAAAAAACAGCAUUGUAACUAUCUAACCCUGGUGCUUUGUCAUCUCCAAUAGCCUUGAGACUCUCCACAAUUUCCAUAUCAGUUACAUCAGCACAUAGAUCCCUUCUUUGUUGUUGUGUUAGCUUUGGUCCAUUUGUCAUGUACAUUUGAUUUAUAGCUGGCAGGGUGGAUACAGAAGUUCCCAUCAGUGCCUUGUAGAAUCCAAUGAUCUCCUUUUUGAUAUCUUCAACUGUAGUGAUUUUGGUACCCAUUGUAUUUGUAAGUUCAGUAAUCUGGUUGUGUUGAGUUCUCUCCUUCAUGACUACAAGAAAUAUUUAGUGUUGGAGUCUCCAAGCUGUAUCCAUUUUGCUCUGGCCUUCUGCUGCAGAACACUUUCCUCAAUCAUUGACCAUUUUUCCAGUUUCAGCACUAGCUCCUUCUCCUUCUGCUGCAAGACAUCAGAGUAUGCUUGUGUCAUCUGAACUUGUAUUGUCCCUAGUUCCUGUCUGCUAAGGUCUAUUCUCUGUGAGAUAGUCUUGAAUUCCUUAAUAUUUAGGUCUUUCAGAGGAUUUUUUAGAGCUUUGAGUUUAGACCAUAUGGCUUUCAUAGUGCUUGAAUUUCCAGUAUGCCAAACACUUGCCACAAUCUGAUGGAAAUCUUCAUGAUCAGCCUAUACAUUAAAGAACUUGAAAGGUUUUUUUCCAUUCCACGAAGAUGAUGUCAAUGUCACUAUCAUGGGAUUAUGAUCUGAUAUUAGAGGAAGAUCAUAUUCANNNNNNNNNNNNNNNNNNNNNNNNNNNNNNNNNNNNNNNNNNNNNNNNNNNNNNNNNNNNNNNNNNNNNNNNNNNNNNNNNNNNNNNNNNNNNNNNNNNNNNNNNNNNNNNNNNNNNNNNNNNNNNNNNUUACCACUUGGCUCCACUUGAUCAUCCAUUCAUAGUUACCGAAUACCCUAUCCAGUCUGCUGCAUACUCUGUCCACUCCAGUCUGCUUAUUUAUCCAGGUGUAGUAUUCACCCCUCCAAGGCAAUUCUGACAAUCCAGCUUGUUGAUUACAUUUACUGAAGUCUUGGGUUUCAGGGAGUCUUACAGGUUUGCAAGACUGCCUAUCUUUGUCACAUAAGAUAGCAUUGAAAUCUCCAGCAACUACCCAUAGGUCUUGCAUCCCUGAUGAUAGUGUUUGGAGGCUGCUCCAUAGUGAUCUUCUUUGCUUCAACCCAUUGAAGCCAUACACCACAGUGAGGAGGCAUGUGAAGUCCUCUGUCCUGCUUCUAACCUUGCUAUGUAUCAAUUGGCUUUCCUCCAGAAUACUAGUGACUUCGAACACUUUUAGGUUCUUCUGUCCUACUUCUAACCUUGCUAUGUAUCAAUUGGCUUUCCUCCAGAAUACUAGUAACUUCAAACACUUUUGGGUUCCAUAGAAUCCACACUCUGCCCUUUUCACCAGAGACCUAGCUUGUUAAAAUGCCCCAUCCUGGUGCUAGUAGGUUAGCAAUUCUACUAGCAUGCAUUUGUUUUACCUUAGUNNNNNNNNNNNNNNNNNNNNNNNNNNNNNNNNNNNNNNNNNNNNNNNNNNNNNNNNNNNNNNNNNNNNNNNNNNNNNNNNNNNNNNNNNNNNNNNNNNNNNNNNNNNNNNNNNNNNNNNNNNNNNNNNNNNNNNNNNNNNNNNNNNNNNNNNNNNNNNNNNNNNNNNNNNNNNNNNNNNNNNGUUCCCCUGGAGGGUCUUCUUUACUACAAGAAACUACCUCAAACCUAUUACUGACAGUGAUGGGGGACAAAGGUGGGAAAUUAGUGAUGUUGAAAACUGGGCUCUAAGGUUGUUUCCUUUAUCUUUUUGGCUUCCUUUGUCAACCAUCUGGCUCUAGACAAUCUUGGUUUCAGUAGGGACUCCCUUUGGUUCAUUAUGCUGUACUGGUAAUUGUUUCUGUAGUGGCACAUUUUGCACAAGGCCCUUAGUUCUCCAUUCCUGGACUACCUUUGGUUUCCACACUUGUGUGUGCUGUUUUGUGAUUUGCUUUGGCUGCACUGCACAGUUGUGUCCUAUUGUUUGGCAUUUAUCACAAUAGGAGGGCUUCCACUCAUAAACCACCUCUUGAAGGAACUUUUUCCCAUUCGGAUCCAUAACCCAUAUCUCUGUUGGCAGUUCUUUAGUGACAGUCACCUCUAUGAGCAUUCUGGCGUAGCAAAUCCUUGUCUGUUUUGCUGUACAUUCAUCUGCAAAAAUUGGUUUCCCUAAUACGCUAGCAAUUCUGCUUAGAGAUCUCAUACCCCAGCAAGACAUUGGAGUUUCAGGAACUUUACCAAUAUAAUAGGCUUUCUAGAGGUNNNNNNNNNNNNNNNNNNNNNNNNNNNNNNNNNNNNNNNNNNNNNNNNNNNNNNNNNNNNNNNNNNNNNNNNNNNNNNNNNNNNNNNNNNNNNAAAGUCGAAGUCAGGUGUCCAUUGCUUGAGUAUCAUAGGCCUAUUGGCUAUUGAGUAAGGUCCUGCACAUAGUAUCUCUUUGGCGUCAGAAAUUGUUCUGAAUUUCACAAUGUAAUAUCCUUCUUCAUGGUAGAACAAAUCUGGCUUUGGGACAUGUGACCAGUGAUGAUUGAUGAAUCUCUUCAUUGCAUUGAAGCCAGUCCCAUCUCCUAGGAUGUAUACCACUAAGGCACACUUCCAUUUUGCUUCUUCCUCUUCUACCUCCGAUUUAUUCAGUUGUACUAUAGGUUGCCCGUCAAUCAUCACAGGGGGUAUGUAGUCAAGAGCCAUUCCAUGGGUCGCAAAUCGAUUCUUCUGGAAUAGGGUUGUCCAGCUCUUCUUAGGCUCCACUAAGGUGCUUCUGCUAGUAUCUGGGUGUUCCUUUAUCACCGUUGCUGGCUGCAUGGUCAUCUCUUCCGAUGGAUCUGGAACUGCUGGAAUCGGAGGAGAUGUAGCCACUUUGACACCUACUGCAGUCGGAGUUUCCAUAGUCGUGUCAUCCAUACUCUCUGUCGAUGGAUAUGGAACUGCUAGAAUCGGAGGAGUUGUAGCCACUUCGACAACUGCUGCAGUCGGAGUUUCCAUAGUCGUGCCAUCCAUACCUACCAUUGCAUCUUGCUGCACUACCACUACAUUUGCAGCUUGCUCAUCUGCUUCCAUGGCGUCUAGGUUUUGUACAAAGGGAUUCUGCAUAUCGUUGGUAUCCUUCUUCUCCAAAAUCAGUUGGUUUAGCUUUUCAAAGGUUUCUAUCGGUAUCUUCCACGGUCGACCUCUGCCGCAGCUGCCGCCUUUCGCCAUAUCUACGAGCUCGGCGUACGUUAUGCUAACGUGCGCCGAGAGGAAAGGAGAGAGACGGUAAUAACUUGCCAUAUUGAUAUCAUAAAAUAAAUACAGUUUUGUAUUACUCAUAAAAUUUAACCUGACUUUAUCUUGAUGAUUAUUUCUCAGAAUUCUCUCAUUGUUCAAAAUUUAUCAAUAAUAUUUUUUAGUAUUAUUUAUUUACUUAUUUUUUGUCAAAUAAAUUAAUAGUAUAGAUAAAAUCAUAUUAUCUUUAUUUUUGUUUUUAUAUAUUAUUUUUUUCUACAAAAUUUUAAAUUAUUUUAUGUAGAUUUUAUCUAUAAUAUGAAUAUUGUUAUAUUAUUUUUCUAAAUUCGUGAUGUUGAAUUAGUUCAAAGUUUAAACAGAGAAAUUUGUUUGUUAUAAGUUAUAAAUCUACUAACAACUGUAAUAAUUAUUAUUUUAGUAUCACUUUUAAUAAGCAGUUAAAUUAAAUUCUCCUUUGUAGUUAGUAUAAAAGCUGAAUUUAAAUAUUUUAUUAAAAUUGAUACACAAAAAAUUAUAUUAUUUCUUUAUAUUUUUAUUUUUUUCUUAGAAUUAUUUCAAUAUUUUUUAUUUUAGUUACGUGAUCUUAUCUGUAUAGCAAGAUCAUACGAAUUAUUUCAUAAAAAAUCUCAUCUCAAAGAUCAAAUGAGUCUUAUACUUUUAUAUAUCUCAACACCGAAAUUUAUAAUUACAUAUUUUCUCCCUUUUUUUAGUUUCUUGUCCAUUUCAUUAAGUUACCUAUCAUUUAGGAUUAUUGAUAUCUUUCACUACUCUCAUUAUAACAAUGAUUUUGAUUUUUUUUUAUAAAUUGGAUGAUAUAUAUAUAUAUACAUAUAUAUAUAUAUAUACAUAUAUAUGUAUAUAUGUAUAUGUAUAUGUAUAUAUGUAUAUAUAUACAUAUAUACAUAUACAUAUACAUAUAUACAUAUAUAUGUAUACAUAGAUAUAUGUAUAUAUAUAUAUAUAUAUNNNNNNNNNNNNNNNNNNNNNNNNNNNNNNNNNNNNNNNNNNNAUAUAUAUAUAUAUAUAUACAUAUAUCUAUGUAUACAUAUAUAUGUAUAUAUGUAUAUGUAUAUGUAUAUAUGUAUAUAUAUACAUAUAUACAUAUACAUAUACAUAUAUACAUAUAUAUGUAUACAUAUAUAUAUGUAUAUAUAUAUAUAUAUAUAUAUGUAUGUAUUAGCUAAAGGAAGCCACCCUGUCAGGACAGUUUGUGAGGUAUUUUAGAGCCCCUAAUGAUACAAUAUUUUGCAUAAUAGUGUUUAAAUUACAGUCUAAAAAGGAUCUAGGUAGUUUAGUUCCUAGGAUGUCUGCCCAAAAUACAUCAUUGGCAAACACCGGAGGAACUGCUAGUAUUAAAGAGUUACACAAAAAGUCUUCUCAAGUUGCUUCCUUUGCGAGUGUAUCAGCCACCCUAUUUUUCUCCUUGUAGACAUGCUUCACCACUGCACUUCCCAUCCUUUGAAUCAAUAACAUGCAUUCACAAAUUAAAGGUUCAAAUGUUAGAUUACCAUGUAUAAGCAUGUUGAUAGUUUCAGCUGAGUUAGUGUUAAUCUCCAGCCGCAAUAGAUUGUUUUGUUCUGCCAAUUGGAGACCUUUGGCAAUGGCCCUGAUUUCUGCCCCUGUAUUUGUGGUGAAGGGGAUGUUUUCCAUGAAACCCAAUAUCCAUUCCCCAUUGUGGUUUCUGAAAACCCCUCAUAUACCUCCUACUCCCAGAUUCGUUUUUGCUGCGCCAUCUGUGUUCAGCUUGGAAGAGUCUCUUGGUGGAGGCCACCAUUUUAGCAUAUUUUGGUGUUUGACUUUUGCUUGCUUGUUAUCUCUCAGAACACGUAAUUCAGUUGCCUUUACUAUGGUAUUGGUAGCACUGAUUAUGUCUUUUUUAUUGUUAAAAACAUUACUAUUUCUGUUUAGCGAGAUGUGCCAAAGACAGAAUGGUGGAAUAUUAAUCCAAGAGAAGUUUUCAUUCAAUUUUAAAUCUCUACCUUUUUCCAUAACUGCAUCCCAUGACAUAUUGUGUAGUCCAGGGCUUGUUACAAAGGGGGUUGUGGCUUUAUCCUGGAUUGAGCUCCAGAAUUGAAUGGCAUUGGGGCAUUGGGAGAAUAUAUGGUCAAUAUCCUCCUUAGCAGCUCCACAAAAGUGGCAAUAUUGGGGGGCAUCCCAGCAUUGAGUGAAGGAAACUUCUUGUUGGCAGUCUUCUGUGGGGCAGAAGCCAUAUGAAGUUUUUUUAUUUUAUUGGGUAUAUAGAGCUUCCUAUGAUAUGGAGAGGAGGUGUUUUGGUCAGAAUUGUUAAGGAUGAAAUAGGCAGUAGAGAUUGAAAAUAGUGCAUUGGAUUUGAGGUCCCAGAUUAGGUUAUCCUCCUUGGUGGAUAGACCGUGAAUGAAUGUAGACCCCAAAAGGUCAUGGAUAUGCCGAGGGAGUUGGAAUGAUAGGAUUGAAGUGUUCCAUUAGCCCAUUUGGAGCACUGAGGCAACUUGAUGUCACUAUAAUUUUGGUUCUGUGCCACUGAAUUAGGUCUCUUAGUGCUGGUUGAUUUGGAAUCCAUUUAUCAUUAAAGAAAUUAACUUUAUUUCCUUUGUGGACUACCCACCUACUUCCUUUGUUACAAAUUUUCCAGCUUUCAGCAUGCUCUUGCAAGUUGGGGAGUACUAAGAUCUAUUCUGUCUCAGGCCCAUAUUGGGUCUUGAUAUGUUGCAAUGCUUGUGGAUCAGCACUCUAGCCCAAAGAGAGUUGGUGUUUUUAUAGGCUAUCCAAGCAAGGUUUUCAAGGGAUGCUUGAUUUUUAAGGCUUGACUUUUGAAGGACUAGCCCCCUUUCUUAUUUGGUUUUAGUCACUACAUCCUAUUUAACUAGAUGUAUUUUCCUUUUCUCUAGGGUGGUGCCCCAGAUGAAAUUCCUUUGGAGAUUGUCAAUCUGUUUAGUGACCUUGGUGGGUGGGGUGAUGUAUUGCAUUACAUGAUUAGGGAUACUAUUAAGGUUUGACUUAUCCAAGACAGUUCUCCCUGCCAUGUUGAGGCAUUUGGACUUCCAGCCAGCCUGCUUGGAGUGUCCAAGAUGAAUUGGAACUUUGUUGUUGUUUUCCUCUUAUGGAAGACGGGGAAAGCCAGAUAUUUCCCAAAAGUGGUGGAUUGCCUAAUGGAGAGAGUGGAGUAUAUGAUCUGGGAGGAGGCUUGACUGCUGUUAGAGAAUAAUAGCACCCUUGAUUUGGAAAAGUUGAACUUAUGUCCUGACUGUGAGUUAAAAUCUUCUAGAAUGGCCAGAUAGAGGAGCAAUUUUUUAUGUUGGCUCUAGCAAAGAGAGUAAGGUCGUCAGCAAAAAAUAUGUGUGAAAUCUUUGGACCUGACUUACUUAUACUAAUGGGAUCCCACUGGUUUAGGUGAACUGCUUGAUCAAUGGAUCUAGAAAGUCUUUCCAUACACAGGAUGAAAAAGUAGGGUGACAUGGGGUCCCCUUGUCUGAUUCCUCUUGAGGGGUUGAAUGGCUUAGUUUUGCCUCCAUUGAGAAGUAUGGAUAUAUAAGAUGAGCUAACACAUGACAUGAUGAGCUUAGUUAGAUUCACUGGGAAAUUAAAGGCAUGAUGUGUGUCCCUAAUGAAGGACCAUUCUAGCCUUUUAAAGGCCUUUUCCAUGUCAAUUUUCGGAAUCAUAUUUUCCAAUCUACCCUUCAUUUUCCUAAGUGGUUUAUGUAUUCAUGGACUAUGACUGCAUUAUCACAAGCCCUCCUACUACUAGGGAAGCUGUCUUAGUUGGGCCCUAUGAUGCUAUUGAGAAUGGGCUUGAUUCUACUUACAAUGAUCUUUGUAACUGUCUUGUAAAUUGUUUUACAAAAACCAAUUGGCCUGAAGUUUUUGAUCAUUGAUGCUUGGGGGACCUUUGGGAUUAGGCAAACCAGAGUUUGGUUCGUGGUGGUGUCCAUUGUGGAUGUGCUGAAACAAUUCAGACAGAAUUGAUUGACAGGCUCACAAACCAAAUCCCAGUACUUUUGGAAGAAAAAGGGGUGCAGCCCAUCUGGUCCUGGGGCCUUGAAGUGCUUAUUGGAGAACACAACUCUUUUGAUUUCCUCCAAUUGAGGAGGUCUAUCCAUGAGGGUCCUAUGGCUUUGGAGAAUAAUUGGGCCCAGGGUAGAAUGACUUGUGCUUUUCCAUGGAACUUGGGCAAUUGAUGUGGUGUAGAGAUUGGAGAAGAAGUCUGUAACUGCUGAGCUAAUCUCAUUAGGAUUAGUGAUCCAGUUACCAAUGUCUUCCUUUUGGGAUAGGAUCCUGGUUAUUCUUCUUCUGUUUAAAGUAGAAGUGUGGAAGAUAUUUGUGAUGGCUAUCACGUUCUUGAAGCCAGCUGAUUCUAGACUCCGAUUUCCAGAAGUCCUCCUCAUUCUUAAGGAUGAGGUUCAGCUCAUUGUUUAGGUUAAUUUCCAAGUUUGAAGAAAGGUACUGAAUUGGUAGUUGUUGGAUAUUUGGAUUCCAUCAAUUUUGGAAAGAGCCUUUUUUGGUGGAAUAUGUUGCCAAAGACCUCCUUAUUCCAAACAGUUUCCAGCUUUUUAAAAUUAUCAAUGGAGUGGAGCAGGUUGGACCUUCCUUGGAACGCCUUGUUAAUGAUAUUGGGGAAGCCAGAGUGGCUAGACCACAUGGUUCCAAACAUGAAGGGCCUAGAGUGGAUAUUUAUUGGGGGUCCAUCCAUUUGGAUUUUAAGGGGACGAUGGUCUGAGUGGGUCCUGGGUAGGUGCAGCAUAGUAGCCUCAUGGUGUUUUUUGAUCCACCCUUCAUUUGCAAAGCACCUAUCAAUCCUUUUCAGGAUUAAUGUACUACGGCUUGUGUAUCUUUUAUUAAACCAAGUUUAUUUACUACCCUUGUACCCCAGGUCAAUAAGAUUACAUGUAUUGAUACAUUUCCAAAACAGGUUACUACGGUUUAAGUUUAUAGGGUUGCCCCCAAACUUAUCCCUAGAUUUUAGGACUUAAUUGAAGUCACCUCCAAUGAACUAGUUGCCACUAGAGGUGCCACCUAUGGUUUGGAACUGUUCCCAUAGUAGUUUCCUAUUAGCAAUAUGAUUACUUGAAUAUAUUUCAGAAAAAAGCCAUGGAGGGUUAUCUGGAUUUACCUUCACCAUAGCAUGAAUUGCUUGUGGAAUGGUGACCACCUCGUCCAGAGUUACCAUAUCUUCUUUCCACGUGAAUAUAAUACCACCUGAUGAGCCUAUUGUAGGAGACUAGAUUAUCAUUUCAAACCAUAGGUUUUGGGCCAGAUUUCGGUGGUUGGCCAUCUUGGUUUCAAGGAGAACCAGCAUAGGAGGCUUGUGAAGCUUUACCAUUUCCAGACAACGCCUCUUAAAUUCUGCUCCAUUGCCCAUCUAACAUUCCAAAUUAUGUAAUCCAUUAAAGGGAUGGGGUUGGAUAGUGGUGGUGCCACCUCAUUCGGACUCGGAGGACUUUGCAUGUUGGGCACUUUGGGGGGAGGAUAUUUUCUCUUCAGAUUUAGUAAAGGGGUUAAUUUCAGUACCUGCUUCAGCUGACCUUAGGAAUGAGCUAGGGUUAGGCUCAGUUCACAUUUGGACAUCACCCUGGGACAUAGAACCACCAUUAUUUCGCUCACCUGGGUACUGAGCUCGAUCAACCUCACAGAGUCUAGGAGCAAGGAGUCUGUGGCUGUGGCUGUGGCUGUGAAGCUCUGCUCUGGUUCGUCCAUCGCAUUAAUCCACUUGAGAAUCUCCAGUGCUAUGGUGAUUUCCCUGCUGAUAUUUUUUGGUGGAGGUGGUGGGGAAGGGUUCUUCAAUGGUGAGGACUUGUUUGAAGUUAUGUUUGGUAGUAGUGAAGGACGGUUCCACUGCCAGAUCCUCUUUUGACAGGUCCAGAAAUAAGGGUAGUGUUUGGUAGCAUUGGAAGAGGUGACUGUUUAGGGCUUGGGGGUCUAUUAUCGGGUAGGGGUGUGCAUUUGAUUUAUCGAUUCGAUUUUGACCUUAUCGAUAAUUACUUAUCGAUUAUCGAUUUGUACAUAUGCUUAUCAUACUUGUUCCAAUAAGGUUUCGAUUUUUUCUAUUUCGAUUUAUUGAUUUUUGGGGCUUACUGAUUCGGUUAUCAUAUGCUUAUCAUUAUCAUUUCAAUAAGGUUUCGAAUUUCAAUUUAUCAAUUUUGCUGGCGUAUCAAUUCGGUUAUCAAUUACACCAAUAAGAAAAUUUAUGGGAUUACACGUAAAGUGUAUCGCUAUAAAUGCGCCUAACUAAUAUGGACAAAAAGAAGCUAAAAUUAAAUGAACACCAUUUAUAACAUAAAAAUUGUGUCAACAAGUACAUGCAACAAAACUAAAGUAAGGGAUCAAAUGUAUGUCACGAACACUCCAAUAGUAUAAAAAAAUACAUCAUCACGGGUAAUUCUAUUUUCUAUCAAUCUGAACUUCAUUCCUAUAUGCCACAAACACUCCAACGAUAUAAAAAAAAACAAAAUAAAAUACAUCAUCACGGGCUAAUGCUGUUUUCCGUUAUUUUGAACUCCAUUCCCUUAAUCUUUAAAUGUGAUCAUUGCUUAAAUGUGGUAGAUAAAAUAAUAGGGUAAGGGACUUAGGGUAAAGGAUAGGGUAUAGAUUAGGGAAAAAUGAUAUUGUAUAGACGCUUUCAAAAUAGUAGCGGAAUUUAUAUACAUUCUGUAUGUUAUAUUAAUAUACACAAAUAGGUAAUUACUCAUUUUACAAGUGUCUACAGUCUAGAGGUGUGCAUUCGAUUUAUCGAUUUGAUUUUGACCCUUAUCGAUUAUCGAUUUGUAUAUAUGGUUAUCGUUAUUUUUUCAAUAAGGUUUCAAUUUUUUCGAUUUCGAUUUCAAUAAAAAAUAAUCGAUUCGAUUUAUCGAUAAACCUAUUCGAAUGCACACCCCUAUUAUCAGGUUCACACUGUCACUGUUGUACAUUGAUUGCCAAAUGAGAAGCCCAUAUGCCACCAAGGCUUUGUUCAAGGCUUCCACCGUGACUCAUGCAAGUGCGCCAGAUUCUGCACUAUUAGGGUGACUUUCUUGCCAUCGAUGGAGAAGCCAUAGGAAAGUCCCUAACCAUGUAGUGCCACCUCCAGCCAGGAGGCCGGUUGGUGGUCUGAUGGAAGCGAUAGGGUGAUGAUGAUUGCUGGCAUCUAAUUGUUUCCCAAUUUUGGGUUUUUUUUAUUUACUAGAGCGGAAAAAGGUUUGAAAUAUGGGAGGAUGAUUGGUUCCCCAUCAUAAAAACCUACAUUGUCAUAUCUUGGAAAGUGGACGGGUGGGCUUGUAUUGGGACUAGGGAUCGUUGCCGGUCAUUAAUAACGGAUGUAACAUUGGUGACCUCUGGGGUCUUGUCAAGAUUGGAGGGUAGGAGUUGCAGUCAAGGCACUCGAUUGCCUUUGUUGUCGAUUGGGAUUUCACCAUUAGAGGGGUUGACAGUAGAUGGGGUAGGGGAGAUGUAGGUCUUGAGGCCUAAUUUCCCUGGCCCAUUCUGCAGUGUGCUGGCACAACAUUAGAGGUAACGAUUAGGGCCUCUUUGCUUGGGAUUGAUCCCAUUUGCAUUUUUGGGCUGGUUGUUAGUACAUGUGGGGUCGUCGUUGCUGAGACACGCCUUUCUUUUGGACCCAGUAUUUUGAGCUCCAUGUGGGCUUGGGUAAGGCACAUGCCUUGUCCAUCUUAGGACACUAUUAUCUUUUUUUAUUGGGCCCCGAUUCUUUCUGCUGAUUCUUUUUUGAGUUUUUUCAGUUUGGGUUUGUCUGUUCAAUAAUUGGGGUGUUACCUGGGAGCUUAUCGUGGAUAUUUACCUGGCUUGACUCCGUGAGUUUGUUAGUAAAAAAUUUUCUGGGUUGACCUUCUAUGCUUGGAUGUGUUCUUGGUUGACCCUGCCUUCGUCUCCUUUGAAACAUGAUUGUUUUCCAUUAACCCUCUUUUGGAAUAGAACUUUUCUGGCUGUGAGUCUGCUGGUUAUCGGAUGCUUGUGGUUGGUUUUGGUUUUGCCUAAAGGAACAUGAUAAUGUUGUGUGACCUAUUCUUCCACAAUUUGCACAGAGGGUUCCAUCCCCUUCGUAUAGGACUAUUUGUUUGUGGCCGGCGAUAAUCACUGAGGUUUCCACUGGGGACUCUAGUGGGACUUGGAUGCAGAUGCGAGCAUACCUCCUUCUUAGUGUGGAGGAUGUGCAUUGAUCAAUUUUAGGAGCUUACCAAGCUUUCUCCCAGCUUUUUCCAAUUUUACUUUAUCAUAGAACUCAGUAGGGAGUUAUGGAAGCCUUAUCCAGAUGUCAGUGGAGAUGGGUAUUGCUUCUUGUAAAACAAACUUUGGUUCCCAUUUCCUGACCGAGAGGAAGUGUCCUGAUAUGAACCAUGGCCCUUGGUGGAGUGCCUUCACCAUACUGUCUUCCAGAUUAAAUUUUACUAUAGAGAAGUCCCAACCUAGGUCAAUCAAGAUUAAUUGUUCAGAUGGUUUUCAUAGUUCAAUUAAUUUGGAGCGCAGUAUGUGGUGAGGCACUUUUCUUUUGAAAACUUUGAAGAUAACUAAGAAUUUCCAUGGCUUGUAUAGUCUUUCUUUAUCCUCGGGUGUUAGAGGGAUUGCCCCUUCGAUGUGUUUUUUUUUUUGUACCCUUUUGGGAUGGACUGGUUUUCUAUAUCGUAGUAACUUCCAUGGUUGCAACUUUGUUUAUCUAGGAAUGUUUCCUUGUAGAUUUGCAUUGGCGCUUUCUACCUUCAUUUGGGUUGGCUUAUCCGACGGUUGGGGUGGGAGGGUUGGUAUGAUUUGAGUUGAUUACAUUUGCUACAGUAGUGGUUUGGGAGAGAGAGUAAUAAAGGUUCGUUUUUUUUUUCAUCUACUUUUAUUCUUGUGUUCUUUUAUUCUAUAGCUUGGAUUAAUGUUUAAAAUUAUUAAUAAUCUUUUUGAGAAUUAUUUAUUUAUAUUUAUUUUAUUAUUUAUAUUACUAAAAGUAUAAAUUUUCUCACAUUAUUCCCACCUCCUUUUGAGCAGUAGUAGUAGUAUUAUUUAAGUCCCAUUCGGUGGCAUAAGGUAUUGCGCAACUUUUUAUUAUGUGUUAUGAACUGUGUGUAGCCGAGUUCAGUUACCGGAUGAUUCGGAGUCAAAUUGGAAGAAGAAUUUAAUAGUUUUGGAAGCUUAUGCGGUAAGAGUUGACCAAAAUUUGACUUUUAUGUAAAUGACUCCGGAAGAGGUUUUGGAUAAUGUUAACAACUUUGUAUAGUGAUUUUAGACUUAGGUGUACGUCUGUAUUUUGAUUUGGAGAUCCGUAGGGUAAUUUGAAGAAUUUUGGCGGAAGUUGGAAAAGUUGAAGUUUGGAAGGUGGAGAGGUUUGACCAAUAUUUGACUUUGGUGAUAUCGCAAUCGGAAUGCAAUUUCGAGAGCUGGAGAAACUCUGUUGUGUCAUUUGGAACUUACCUGCAAAAUUUGACGUUAUUCCGAGUUGACUUGGCAGGUUUUGGCGUGAAUUUUAAAAGUUGGAAGAUUUGAAAGUUCAUAAAUUCAAUUCAAGGUGUUAUUCAUAGUUUUGACAUUUUUGAUGUGAUUUGCAACCUCGAGCGAGUCUGUGUUGGGUUAUGAAACUUGUUGGUAUGUUUAGAAGGGGCCCGAGGGCCUCUUGUGUGUUUCAUAUGGGCUAUAGCCAUUUCUUUCUAUUUUUGGACUAUUGUUUUAUGUCAUCUAGUUUUUUUCAUCGCAUUUGCAUCCUAGUAUCUGCAUUCGUGUACUGUUAUUUUGGAGGAUGAAAUAUUUACUCUUUGCGUUCGCACUCUUCUGCUCGGGUUCGCGAAAGAUUGCAUUUCCUUUCUUCGUCGUUCGCGUAGUAGAAACUAAGAGCUGGGUGCUGGAGACUAUUUCCUCUCGCGUUCGUGUCCUUCUUCCCGCGUUCCCGAAGGUAUGCAAUUCCUUUCUUCACGUUCGUGUACUUCUUUAUGCGUUUACGUAGCCCAAUUGUUGGGCCAUCAGAUUUUUCUCUCUGCAUUCGCGAGUGAUCUGUCAUCUUCAUGAAGCACAUCUUGGCAGCCUUCAUUUUUCUCUUCAUGAACAUGAUACGUCUUCUGCGUUUGCGAUGCUUUAAUACCUGGGCAGAAUAUAUAGUACUCUAUUCCGAGGGUUAGCUAGUUUCACCAUUUUUGGAGUUCUAGAAGUCGGGUUUGAGCGAUUCUUUGUGGGUUAUUCAAGAAAAUCGAUUGGGUGAGUGUACUUCGCUUAGAAUUUAUUAUAUUCCAUGAAUAUAUCUUUAUAUUUAUCAUUAAAUUAGUGUUUUGAGUUGAGGAAAAAUGGUAAUUUUUGAAGAAAAUUUUCAAAAUAUAAAAAUGAUGAUUUGAUGGGCGAAAUGUUAUCGGAACUUGAUAAUUUUUGUAUAGUUGAACUUGUAUCGGAAUGGUUGUUCAAAUUUUAUGAAAUUUGUCGGGUUUCGAGAUGCAGGCCCGAGGGUCGACUUUUGGGUUGAUUUUUAGUUUUUGAUAAAAGAUUGAGGCGUUAUGAUCCAGAAUAGUUUCUUAUGAAUUUUAUUUAUGCUUUGAAGUUGUUUUGGCUGGAUUUAGCUGUCCGGAGGUUAUUUCACCUGAGAAGUUUGUUUUAGAGUAUCGUCUGUCUGUUUGUAGUAAGUAUCUUGCCUAACGUCGUGUGGGGGAACUACCCAUUAGAAUUUGAGUAUUCUAUGAUAAUUGUGUCAUGUAAAGUUUAUGCACAUGAGGUGACGAGUCGGGCUUAUUAGUGGAAAGUUGGCCUUUUAGGGUUCUUAGGUCCUUAUAUUCACCGAGUAUGAAGUUAUUUUGUUAUGAUUAGGUUUCCUAUUUACUAGUUUCACCUCUACAUGCUUUAAUAUCAAAUUAAUCGCUUCGUGAUCCACUCUUAUAUCCUAAUUGACUCCGAUAUGAUUUAACUGAAAUUGUUACCUCUUCUAUUGUUAUGCCAUCCCUCUCUAAUCGCUUCUUCUUAAUUGAAAGUAUAAUUAUCUCUUAUGUAAUUAUUCAUCCUUAAUUGAGGUUAUGAUUAUUUAUUUGUUGCUUAUCCUUAAUUAAAUUUGUUGUAUCUCUUUUGUAAUUGCUUAACCUUAAAAGAAGUUUAAAUAUCCUAUAUGUUAUCCUUAUUUGGAAUUAUUGACUCGUGUAUCUCCCUUGUUGUUGAAUUGUACUUUGUGGGAUCUUUGUUACAUAUUAUUUUCUCCUUUGUUGAGUUAUUCUUAUUAUGACUAGUAUUCUCAAUUUUUGGUUAUUCCUUGUGAACUAGUUCCGCCUUUUCUUUGUGAUCGAAAGCUCUUAAAUUGAUUUACUUUCCAUACUCUUGUGUUAUUAUCAUUAUUCCUGCGGUAAUCAAUAUUGCGGUGCAAGAGGUUUCUACUAUGCUGUUGUAAUUGUGAUUCACGAGAUUUUUGUUGUGCGAUUGGGGUAUUGUUGCACGAGGUUUCUGCCAUACUAUUAUUACUAUUGAUUAUGCACAUGCGGCAUGGCAAGGCGGGCUAUAUCUGUGUCUUUUUAUAUGAGGCGAGACAGGGUGAGAAUAUUAUUAUACACGUGUGGCGAGAAAAGGCAGGCAUUUACUUUAUUAUUGCAUACGUGGCGAGACAAGGUGGAUUAUAUCAAUAUUGAUUUGUGAUGACGUGUGAUGUCCUGGGGCAUUCUUGUUGUUAAUGUUGGAAACACGUUCUCAAGGCCUUAUACUAAAACGUGUGUUCUUAUGUGUAGGUUUUUAUGAAUGACAAACAAGCGGAAAUUGAUAUAUGACGAAGUUCAAGUACAAGCGCACAAUUGGUGGAUAACGAGAUUCAAGCAGAAGACAAAGUUUUAUAGUUUAAAUGAGUCGUUCUUAAUUGAGAUCAUGAUCCGACAACUUGACUCAUGACAUGGC